rnacentral:rRNA from 1 species
UGUGGGGGGAACAUUCCACGUUUUCCGCGCCGUAGCUAACGCAUUAAGUGCCCCGCCUGGGGAGUACGGCCGCAAGGCUAAAACUCAAAGGAAUUGACGGGGGCCCGCACAAGCGGCGGAGCAUGCGGAUUAAUUCGAUGCAACGCGAAGAACCUUACCAAGGCUUGACAUGAACCGGAAAGACCUGGAAACAGGUGCCCCGCUUGCGGUCGGUUUACAGGUGGUGCAUGGUUGUCGUCAGCUCGUGUCGUGAGAUGUUGGGUUAAGUCCCGCAACGAGCGCAACCCUCGUUCUAUGUUGCCAGCGGUUCGGCCGGGGACUCAUAGGAGACUGCCGGGGUCAACUCGGA